rnacentral:lncRNA from 1 species
AUACUGCAUGGUUUCUGACUGCUUUCAGAGGUUUUGUUCUGACAAAUAUGUGCUUUUUUCCACUUAUUUGAAGUAAAACAGGUUCAAGAGCACAAUAAAUAAACUGCAAAAGCUGAGGUGUUGUCUUCUAGUAUUUUGAGUUUUCUAGUAUUUUUAUUCUUUAAAAUGGAAUCUAAAUUUAGAAUUCUAAACUUUCUCAUGUCUAUGGUUCAGUUUCUAAAAAGACCCUUGACUGAAUAAGCACUAGUUGUUUUCAACUUUAACUGCGAGUUAAUAAAGUGUUUUGCCUGGAAAUAAUACAUUAUAUUUCCUACAGUGUGGUACUGAGUAGCUCAGAAACACAUAAAUCAUGCUGAAACUGUGACUCUUGAUGCAAUCAUACAGCAUUGUUUCAUGAUAGACUGUUGUGUUAUAACUAAGCAUUCCCUUGUGAAAAAGUACCAUUUUUUUCUUUGCUUUCCAGGCUUUUUUUUUUUUUUUUUCCUAACAGAAACUGUACCUGAAAGUGCUAAAGCUCAAAGCUCUCAGGAAAUUGCCCUGAAACUGAAAACCUCCAGGAAAUUGAAUGGACAUACUGCAUGCAACAUCCAAGGAAUUGCAAAACAGAACCUUCCUUUGAGGUAUGGACCUUAACUGAAAGCCUCAAGUGCCACUGGCAUGAAGAAGCCCUUUAUUGUGAGUAUGUUGUUGAUGCAGCGUAAGGAUGAGAACUCUUCACUCUGCCAGAAAAGCUUGCUGAAGUGCUGAAUGUCUUGGGAAUAAAAAGGUGUAACCAUAUCUUUCUUUCA